AAUGGGGUCCCCACCCGCGACGAGGCUUUUGCCGAGGAGCUUAAGGGUGGGGGCAAAGACCCCUUUCGGUUCUCUUGGAACAAGACGGAAGAUAGUCAAUCUUACCGUCGCGCAUACCUUAAAGCGGGUCUGCCGCCUUCGUUUCUCUUUCUUCAGCGAAUGACUUUGGAUCAGCGCUCGCGCGCCGUACCGGCCUUUGGCCUGGCGCUCCGCGAGGGCGCGGCACGAGCCGCGACGGCCACCUGCUAUUCAGAUCUGGCGGCCUUGCGAGGCUUCACCUCGAGGUCAACAGCUUGUUACGGGCAGAGCGCGGUCUUUAGGGCUUGUAGCUCAGUUGGUUAGAGCGCGCGCUUGAUAAGCGUGAGGUCGGAGGUUCAAGUCCUCCCAGGCCCACCAUCAUCUCGAUAUCUGUCGGGAAAUACUAUCAGGGGCCGUAGCUCAGCUGGGAGAGCGCCUGCUUUGCAAGCAGGAUGUCGUCGGUUCGAUCCCGUCCGGCUCCACCAACCAUCUUCUGCGAAGAUGGGGCGUGUAGAGUGGAGAUGGUGAGAAAAAAAGUCAUUCGAUAAGGAGUUUGCGCUGAGCUAAGUGCUCUGCGCCUGUUCUGUUUGACAUCGUAAAGAGAAGAUUUGUUCGAACUUCAUGAUCCGAAAGGACCGUGAUUUGUCGCAAGGGACGCUCAAUCCCUUGCCUAUGAUGGGCUUGCCUAACCGCGCCCUCGAACGGAUCUCGAGAAGCUGGUCUUUUUGUGCCAAUUCCAUUCAGUGAGGCUCGGCACAGAGCUUCGCUGAGGCGACGAUCCUUCGGAUCGCGCUUAGCCAAUCUCGCAAGAGGGUGGUUGAAGCGACGAUCCUGCGAGAUCGCGCGAUGGGUAUUGGCAAUGAGAACGAUCAAGUGUCUUAAGGGCAAUUGGUGGAUGCCUUGGCAUGCACAGGCGAUGAAGGACGUGAUACGCUGCGAUAAGCUACGGGAGGUGCGA
rnacentral:misc_RNA from 1 species